rnacentral:rRNA from 1 species
UACGUAGGGUGCGAGCGUUAAUCGGAAUUACUGGGCGUAAAGCGUGCGCAGGCGGUUCGUUAAGUCAGAUGUGAAAGCCCCGAGCUCAACUUGGGAACUGCAUUUGAAACUGGCGGGCUGGAGUGUGGCAGAGGGGGGUGGAAUUCCACGUGUAGCAGUGAAAUGCGUAGAGAUGUGGAGGAACGCCGAUGGCGAAGGCAGCCCCCUGGGCCAACACUGACGCUCAGGCACGAAAGCGUGGGGAGCAAACAGG